GCCCAGCUGGCUUAAUCAGUAGAGUGUGCAACUCCUGAUCUCAGGGCUGUGAGUUCAAGCCCCAUGUUGGGUA
rnacentral:tRNA from 1 species